rnacentral:rRNA from 1 species
AGGGUAGCAAUACCGCUGACGACCGGCGCACGGGUGAGUAACGCGUAUGCAACCUGCCUAUAACUGGGGAAUAGCUCCCUGAAAGGGGAAUUAACACCGCAUAACACUAUUGAUUCGCAUGGAUUAGUAGUUAAAUGUAGCGAUACAGGUUAUAGAUGGGCAUGCGUGACAUUAGCUAGUUGGUGAGGUAACGGCUCACCAAGGCUACGAUGUCUAGGGGUUCUGAGAGGAAGGUCCCCCACACUGGUACUGAGACACGGACCAGACUCCUACGGGAGGCAGCAGUGAGGAAUAUUGGUCAAUGGGCGCAAGCCUGAACCAGCCAUGUCGCGUGCAGGAAGACUGCCCCUAUGGGUUGUAAACUGCUUUUAUAGUAGAAGAAACACAUCUACGUGUAGAUGUCUGCCAGUAUACUAUGAAUAAGCAUCGGCUAACUCCGUGCCAGCAGCUGC